AGCGUCACCGCGGGCACUGGAUAUAAAGUCCACGCAGCCCGCGGGACUCAGACUUCCCGGAUCGCAGAUGGGGGCGAUGGCGCCGCGUACGCUGCUCCUGCUGCUGGCGGCCGCCCUGGCCCCGACCCAGACUCGCGCAGGCUCACACUCGCUGCGGUAUUUCGUCACCGCCUUGUCGCGGCCCGGACUCGGGGAGCCCCGGUUCAUUAUCGUCGGCUACGUGGACGACACGGAGUUCGUGCGCUUCGACAGCGACGCGGAGAAUCCGAGGAUGGAGCCGCGCGCGCCGUGGAUAGAGCAGGAGGGGCCGGAGUAUUGGGAGCAGCAGACACAGAGAGCCAAGGGUGACGACCAGAAUUACCGAGCGAACCUGAGGACAGCGCUGCGCUACUACAACCAGAGCAAGAAUGGCUCUCACACACUCCAGCGAAUGUUUGGCUGUGACAUGGGGUCGGACGGGCGCUUCCUCACCGGGUACUGGCAGGUCGCCUACGACGGAGAUGAUUACAUCGCCCUGAACGAAGACCUGAAAACGUGGACAGCAAUGAACAUGACAGCUCAGAUCACCCGACGCAAGUGGGAGCAGGCUGGUGUUGCAGAGCUUUACAAGGCCUACCUGGAGGGCGAGUGCAUGGGGUGGCUCCGCCGCUACCUGGAGCUCGGGAAGGAGACGCUGCUGCGCACAGAACCCCCAAAUGCCCAUGUGGCCCGUCACCCCAGACCUGGAGGUGAUGUCACCCUGAGGUGCUGGGCCCUGGGUUUCUACCCUGCUGACAUUACCGUGACCUGGCAGUUAGAAGGGGAGAAGCUGAUCCAAGAAAUGGAAUUCGUGGAGACCAGGCCUUCAGGGGAUGGAACCUUCCAGAAGUGGGCAGCUGUGGUGGUGCCUUCUGGGGAGGAGCAGAAAUACACAUGCCAUGUGCAACAUGAGGGGCUGCCUGAGCCCCUCACCCUGA